rnacentral:rRNA from 1 species
UACGUAGGGUGCGAGUGUUGUCCGGAAUUAUUGGGCGUAAAGAGCUCGUAGGCGGUGUGUCGCGUCGGUCGUGAAAACUUGGGGCUUAACCCUGAGCUUGCGGUCGAUACGGGCAUCACUGGAGUUCGGCAGGGGAGACUGGAAUUCCUGGUGUAGCGGUGGAAUGCGCAGAUAUCAGGAGGAACACCGGUGGCGAAGGCGGGUCUCUGGGCAGUAACUGACGCUGAGGAGCGAAAGCGUGGGGAGCGAACAGG